rnacentral:sRNA from 1 species
AAAGUUACCUGUGGCCGCCCAAGUCCGCCACUUUCUGCUCUGUGUCUGCCCAUUGCCACGAUCCAGGAGGACUCCGCGCCGCCCGGCCGCCUCCGAGCUCGGGCCCCAUGUGAGGGGCCCCCCCUUAUCCCACCUUUCCGGCUAGGUGAGGGCGCGAGCGGGCGAGCGAGCGAGAGUGGUGAGGGGGGACGGAAAAGCAGAAUUACCUGUAGCUCUUGUUCUGCCAUCUCGGGCGCUCUCACACACCUUCACCUGCACAGACUUGAAAGUCCAGUUUCACCAGAGGCUGAGGCUCCAGGAAAAGGGGAGCAAGUUCAUUGGAUCAAACAUGUCACAAGAGUCGGACAAUAAUAAAAGACUAGUGGCCUUAGUGCCCAUGCCCAGCGACCCUCCAUUCAAUACCCGAAGAGCCUACACCAGUGAGGAUGAAGCCUGGAAGUCAUACUUGGAGAAUCCCCUGACAGCGGCCACCAAGGCCAUGAUGAGCAUUAAUGGUGAUGAGGACAGUGCUGCUGCCCUCGGCCUGCUUUAUGACUACUACAAGGUAGGUCCCCAGCCUCCACUUUUCUCUUCUUCCUGCUCCAGGACAACCCUUUGCUGGUGGGAAGAAGGAACAGAUUCUUUGUCCCAGGCCAGGGAACUAAUAGCAUUUCCAAACUCAAUAUAGAAUACAGCCUCUUACUGUUCUCAUUGCCCCCUACUUCCCCAUCUACAGAGCUCAACUCUGUCACCCACCCAGAGGAAGUGCUCAUUUUGGGAUAGUAUUUUUUGUGUUCUUUGUUCACAUGCAUAAAUAUUUGCAUAUUAUUCUUAUCAUAUUACAAAUACUUCCUUGUUACCAUGUUUACUUUAGGAUUAUUAUUUUUGCUGAAAGAAGUAUAUUACAUUGUGUGGCUUUAUUAGUCCAUUUUCACACUGCUGAUAAAGACAUACCGGAGACUGAGAAGAAAAGGAGGUUUAAUUGGACUUACAGUUCCACAUGGCUGGGGAGGCCUCAGAAUCAUGGUGGGAGGCAAAAGGCACUUCUUACAUGGCAGUGGAAACAGAAAAUGAAGAAGACGCAAAAGUGGAAACCCCUGAUAAAACCAUCAGAUCUUGUGAGACUUAUUCGCUAUCACAAGAACAGUAUGGGGGAAACUGCUCCCAUGAUUCAAAUUAUCUCCCACAACCCU